GUCUGUGUUUUUUCUAAUAACUAUUGUUACAGGAUAAAUCGAAAUGAUAGCAUGGAUGAAACACACCAGCCAAAAAGUGUAUACGUGGUGUGUAUUCAGUCCUAGUCUAUGAAGGAAUCAAACUUUGUACAGGAACUUUUUUGAUUCCAAAUCUAGCUGUUAUUCCACACCUUAUUUCCAGCUCGUGCCCUCAAACCUGAUGUAAUAACCUCGGAUGUUCACGUUGUUAAAAGAGAAACAACACAAUAACUCCUCUUUUUCCUCAAUACACUUGUGUUGUGAAGAGCACAGAACACACACAGCAUCACACCUCCUCUCCCCUGCUCACAUGCUCCCCUGGUGUCUUGUUAAUGCAGCUCAGGCGCACUCUUAGGCACUAUAUCCUCCUUUCUCUCACUUACUGUAUCUUUUCUUAUGGCACACGCACGCUCAAAGUGUAGAAGUUAAAAUGGCUUCAGUCUGCAGUGCAGGAGGAGUCGGUAAUGCUGCUGUGACUCGCCGACAUCAGAGGAUACCCAUUGGCCUGCCAAAGCUGAUCUGUGCAUUUAAGCGGCAAGGUGGCCUGUAAAUCAACAUGGGAUUUGGGAAGACAGCAAGACGCCACUGAUGUGUUGCAUUAUUCCCCCGCUUGGCUGCUGAUUUGUGCUCGGCACACAAAUUUCCCCAGAGGAUGAGCUGAGGUACCUGCAGCCUGGAACAGGAGGGCAAACGCUGCUUAUUGGUUAUGUUUGAUUUGUUGUGCAUUUCAUUUUGCUACAAGUACUCCCAAGCACAGAAAUAAGGAAAUCUUCUAAGACAAAGAAGAUGAAAAGCCUGCGUCAAUCAAAGUUCGGCUUCAGAAGAGAAGAAACUUGAGACCAGACGAGGCACUGCGAGAAAAAGAAAUAAAAGCUGAUGAUGAAGAUGAAAGAGGAAGAUCAGACUGCAGUCCUUCCACUGAAUGUUGAGUUCCUUUUCCAUAUGACCAACUUUUGUUGGAUGUUUCUUCAUCUUCCCUGCUCCAUCAUGCUGUGCUGUGUGUCUGAGGUUGGUGUUGAAACAGUUUCUGACACGAGAAAGUAAAGGCAUGAAUUACUCUCCCUGGAUCUGACUCACCAGAUGUAGGCUGCAGGCUGUUUUUUCUUGAGGAUUCUCUUCAACGGGACUUCAUCCAUCUGCCACAGUGUUGAUGCCCAUCCACGUCCAUAUCUCCGUCUCCAUCAUGCAGGGACCUACCGUCACCUCAGACAUUCAUUAUAAGAGGAGGUAGGGUUUUCCUGAGUGCCCUCCACAUUUUUUGCUUUGCUUUUUUGCCCAGGAGUUUGGGUUCGAUUUGCCUGGCCGGCCAGUUGUGGGUGCCAAAGACAUUUCUAUCUUUGAAACUGUUAGGACUCAGUAGUAGUUAUUGUGAACUGACACUGGAUCCAAUGUUUUGGUGGUUUCAACUUGAGCUCAUUUUUAUACGUGGGUUCAAGAUACUUUUUUCCUAAAAAAUUACAAUCUGUUGUCAUUGUGUGUUUUUGGGUUGACUAUAUUCUUAUCAAAACUCCCUCCCAAACCUGAGUUACACCUUAAGGUGUUAGAACUGAAAGGGAGGGUUACAGAGUGACGAUGUAGAAAUAACUAAAUUAAAACUCGGAUGAGAAACACCUCCCUCCACAUCAGCAGCUAUCCUGUCAGAAUGCCCUUGAGCAAAGUAGAAAAGCCUUAAACUGCUCCAGUGGAGCUGUUCAGUCAGUGUUCAACAGACCGUGGGUUUAUUACACGUCAUCCUGGCGUGAAUUUGUCUAACGGUGACUGAGCCUGAUCACAUGAGUGUUAAAAAGACAUCCAGGCUCAGUCAACUUUCCCUGGAGAAACAAGAUAAGACAAAUAAACUUUAUUGAUCCCUGAGGGGGAUGAGACUCGCUGCAACGGUGCAGAAUGGAGAUGUCAGUUCAUGGGGAAAAGAUCAAAAGAUAGUAAGAAAUACGAAUGAAAAGUCAAGGGAGGGUAUAAAUAAAGAUUGCGAUAAAACAGAAAAAUAUUAAAGAUCUUUCUGGUUUUUAAUACCUCCUGGGAAAUAGCUGGAUGUAAUUGGAUGAUGUCAUGUUUCACUGACUGUGACUACAAAGAGUGGGUUCACAUGAGGAGACAGACUGUAACUCUGCAGUAGCAGGACUUCACUUUUCCCUGCAGGAUACUGAGCCAGUCUUGGCUGACACUGGUCAACAGAACAUAUCAUUUAGCCCUGAGGCGCUGACUUCUGCCAGCAGAGCCACGGGAACAGCGCUUUAUAUUGGGCAAAAGAAAUGUCCGUGUUUCCCAAGUGGAUUUUUUUUAAGCUGGAUCACGAGAAGAAGGCCUUAGAGUUCCUUACUGGUCACUGAAGAAAUGUCUAAAAUGCCAUCUGUGUAUUAAAGUUACAUAUUUAGAAGGGUUUUUUUCUGUUUCUGUUGUCUCUCUGCUUAAGUGCUGUAAAACUACUCAUGUUCAAACAAAAACUAAAUAUAUAAAGAAUAGUGAUACACGGCAUGUCCCACCCUGCAAGCUGACAGUACUUGUUCCUUUUUUGUUGACGUGCGUUUCUGAGACUGUCAUUAGUACACUGCUGUGGUCCAGCUGCAGGCGGAACUUCUAAAAUCUUUAACAAUGAUUGCAAUGCGGUUCACAGAGGGGGGAAAAAGAAACUCUAAAAAUGGUAAUGUCCUCUAAAAGUCAAAAAUGUCUUUCGGUUUUAAAUACAAUAUGUUCAUUAGGAGCAAGGAUCAGUGCAAUAUUCAAGAGUAGUGUAAAGCAAUAACGCAUUAUGAAACUAAGAUGGUAGAAAAGCCAUUUUUCAAAAUAUCUGGAUCCUUGAGUGAUGACAGAUUCCUGAAUGUGAAUAGCAGAAUUUUGUCAUACUUUCAUAAUUAAUGAAACUUAGUUGCUUUCAUCUGUAACUGGUGUCUAAACUAACUCAGCUAGAGUGAAGAAAUUCAAUUCAGUCAGAAUCUGAAAUACUUUAUUGAUCCCCGAGUGGAAAUUACUUAUGUUAAAGUUUCUCCCAUGGGUCCUUGUUUUCAGUGAAGAUAACAUUAAAUUCAUUAUAAAUCCAGUCUAGACAUUGUAAAUGUGGUAAAUGACUAUUCUAGCUGUAAACGGCUGAUUUUUAAUGGAAUGUCUCCAUAGGGGUACAGAGGAACAUUUCCAGCAACCAUCACUCCUGUGUUCUAAUUAGGGCUGGACCCGAAUAUCCGAAUAUUCGUUCUCUACGGCGGUAUCCGGAUAUUAAUUUUGGUAUCCUAGCCCUAGUUCUAAUGCUACAUUGUGUUAGCUAAUAGUGCUGAAAGGCUCAUUGAUGAUUAGAAAGUCCUUGUGGAAUUAUGUUGGCUCAUGAAUAAAAGUCUCUGGGUGACCCCAAACUUUUGAACAGUAGUGUAAGUAUGCAGUGUAAUAAAUAGCGUGUUAUUGCACAGAGAUACAUAGUUUUUGCCCAUAAUUAAGUAUUAACCCAAGAAGAGAGAAGUGAAAAGUUAGUCAGCUGUUGCAGUGGAACAUAAUGAGUUCAGUCUGACUGUUGGCUCAGAAUAUCUGAACCUCUCAGUGAGGAAUUUGAUGGCCACAGUCAGGAAUGGUUUCCUGUGGUACAUCUUGGUGGGAUGACUCUAUUACUGGAUAAGCUCCUGUGGCAUUUUAAACUACCUUGAAUUGCCUUUUGUAUGAAUUGUGCUAUACAAAUAAACUUGCCUUACCUUGCCUACAUAAAGGAUGGCACUGACUGGACCUCAGCAGGUCUGGAAGACCUACAGCUCCAUCUACAUCAGCUCUCAGGAUGCUCUGAUCGCUCUCUACCCGCAGUUCUACAACAACGAGAAGAACGUCUACGUCCAAGUAUGUCUUGUAAAUCCUGAUCAAUACUCAUCAGUCAAUUUGCUUUUUUAUUUAGCGACUGAACUUUCAGCUUGUUCUGGAACCUUGUAGAAUCUGUACCUAUUUUUUAUUUCUUGCUCGUCCUUUUGAGGGCGCCAGAGUUCCUUACCCAGUCCACUUUACUGUCAGUGUCGACCCCCAGAUACAUUUUUAGGCGUUUUUAGAUGUUUGCAGUCCUCAGUAAUGACGUCUUUAGCAGCUGUUCUUCCUUUUAAGUCUUGUUCCUUCAGUUGUCUGCUUGUGGUCUUUCUGGAGACUUUCUCAGAUUCUGAUCUAGACGCAUUAAUCUCUGCCUGAAGAUCAGCAGUGGUCUUCCUUCUGCCUCUACAACUUCAAAUCUUGAGGUGCCUGACAUCUGCUUCUUUUAGCUUUCUUUUUCUGUCUCUUCCUUGGCACAUUUUGUAAGCACCAGUCUCUGCAGUCGAGCCUGACCACACUGUGAAAAGACCUUAUGUCUUGCCCUAUUUGUCUCAAAAACUAUCGACUGUCAUAAAAUGCUUUAAUUCAGACUCCGCCUUUCUCAGUGAGUUCCCUACGCUUCACCAUUUUGAACAGGAGUGACUAUUUUCAAACUGAUUUUUCUACGCAAAUUUGAGCCAGAACACUCGAAUUUCUGAGAAGUCAGAAAUUAAUCAAAAAACAAGCAGUAAAAUGAAUUUAUCUGUUCAGGAAUCCCAGCAAAUAGCUGUAAUUUGACAUCUCAGUCAAAAAAUAAUCAUGUGUUUUAAUUUUUUUCUGCUUUUUUGUAAAACGGUACAUUUGAAAA